GGUUUACGUGAAAAAUAACAAAAUUAAGAGAAAAUAAAAGAUAGAAAAUAGGUCACCACAAAAGCUAACAUUUCAUAUACAAAAUCACCCCCCAAUGUUAAUUAAAGAUAUCACCACUCAAUGGAAUCUACCAAAGAGAUACAGAGUUAAACAAUGAAGAAAUUCAUCUAAAAAAACAAUCAAGAGAUUAUAAUUUCAUUCAUCAAUCCAAAAGUUCUUUCAAAUUACUACAUAAAACAAAUAUUUAUAUUAGACUUGGAAUAUACUCCAAGCUAUAUUAACUACACAUCAUUAAAUAAAUAACCAUUCUCUAUGAAAGAUAAUGAAAAGUCACAAAAACUACUUAUGUAACAUUCUGUUUCGAAAAAUACCAAAAAUUUUGAAACUUUGGCCGAGUUUGACCAACUAUACCAUAUAUGGAUCUUAGGUUUGACUUCUUAUAUGGUUGAUGUUUUAAUUUGAUUGGUAUACCAUGUAGAGUAUGCCUAAUUUCAAGUUAUAAUUGAAAAGUUAUCGUUUUGUUAAAUUUCAAGUAUCAAUAUUAUAUCAAUAUUAUAUUAAUAUCCAAAUCAAUUUCAGAUUUAUAUAUAUAUAUAUAUAUACAUGAAGAACCAUGCUUUUAUUAAACAAUCGUAAAAAUAUCCAAAAAAUUUCCAAAUCUUUAAAAAACCUAGUAGACCUGAGAGAGACUUUAAUUGGGUUGGCCUAAACCUUGUUUGAGCACUAACCAAGUCAAGCUGGUUUUGAUCAUUUUAAGGCCAACCAUCGUGGAAGCCCACCUCGAAAUGACCUCACCCACCAAUUUUCAGGUUAGUUGGCUAGCGAAUGAGUCGGAUCAGCAACGAAAACUCAGCGAUGGCAAGUUGUGGUGUUUUCUGGUGGUUGGCCAUUUGUUGACCAUCUAGCUCAUCUCAUACCCUUAUCUAUUAGUUUUGCCCCCCUUAAAUCUAUUGGCACCCUCCGUUUGUCGAAAUUCUUUAUGGUUUGAUAGAUCCAUUAACAUCAGGUUUGGCCAUAUUUUUUGACGUGCUUUUCGAUCAUCGUUGACACUUCUAAAAUGGGCUGCAGCUCCACUAAAUUGAUGGGGAGUAGGCUAUGGAACCAAAUCCAAUGAACUAGUAGGAUUUUUGUGAGAUCCCACAUCCGAAAAGGGCAACGAAGCAUGCCUUAAAAGAGGGUGUGGAUACCUUUUCCUUACGACGUGUUUUGACAAAACCUUGCGGGCUGGACCCAAAGCGGACAAUAUCGCAUGCGGGUGCACAGGGCUGUUACAGAUGGUAUUAGAGCCAGUACCCAGAUCAGUGUGCCAGCGAGGAUGCUGGGCCCCAAAGGGGAAGAAUUGUGAGAUCUCAUAUCGGUUGGAAAGGGGAACGAAGCAUGCUUUAAAAGAGGGUGUGGAUACCUUUCCCUUACGAUGCAUUUUGACAAAAUUGUGCGAGCUGGGCCCAAAGAGGACAAUAUCACAUGCGGGUGGACUGGGCUGUUACAAUUUUAACCAUAGACAACCUUAAUGGGGUGUUUGAGAAAUGUCAAAGUUGAGAGCGAAAUUGAUUUCCGGGAUUUAGUUUCCUAAGAAUUAUUUUUUUCUCUUUAUCUAUUUGGUGAGUAAUGGGAAAGUUGGAAUUGAUAAGUAAUUAAAUUUAAUAUUGUAUAAGAAAUUAAGGGUAAAUAUAUAUUUUAAAAAAAUUUUAAAACUA